UACGUAGGGUGCGAGCGUUGUCCGGAAUUAUUGGGCGUAAAGGGCUCGUAGGCGGUUUGUCGCGUCGGGAGUGAAAACCAGGUGCUUAACACCUGGCUUGCUUUCGAUACGGGCAGACUAGAGGUAUUCAGGGGAGAACGGAAUUCCUGGUGUAGCGGUGGAAUGCGCAGAUAUCAGGAGGAACACCGGUGGCGAAGGCGGUUCUCUGGGAAUGACCUGACGCUGAGGAGCGAAAGUGUGGGGAGCGAACAGG
rnacentral:rRNA from 1 species